rnacentral:lncRNA from 1 species
UCACUAUAUUAUGCCAGUUUUUUGGAAGUCUUAGUUUGAGAUGUGUGUAUUUCCUUGGAAAUUGAUGACUUGAAAAAAAUUGCCAAUUCACUGACAGUGCUUUGCAAUGAAAAACAGAAGCAAGAAAAGCAAAGCACAGCAGAAAAGAAGAAAGGUGUGGUUCCUGGAGGAGGAUUAAAAGCCACCAUGAAAGAUGAUCCGGCAGAUUAUGGUGGUUAUGAUGGAGGAUAUGUACAAGAUUAUGAAGACUUCAUGU